UACAGAGGUGGCGAGCGUUGUUCGGAUUUACUGGGCGUAAAGGGUGCGUAGGCGGUUCUGCAUGUCGGGUGUGAAAUCCCACGGAUCAUCCGUGGAACGGCAUUCGAAACUGCAGGGCUGGAGUGCGGGAGAGGAAGGUGGAAUUCUCGGUGUAGCGGUGAAAUGCGUUGAUAUCGAGAGGAACGCCGGUGGUGAAGACGACCUUCUGGAACGCAACUGACGCUGAGGCACGAAAGCUAGGGGAGCAAACAGG
rnacentral:rRNA from 1 species